rnacentral:rRNA from 1 species
GGCUCAGAUUGAACGCUGGCGGCAGGCCUAACACAUGCAAGUCGAACGGUAACAGGAAACAGCUUGCUGUUCGCUGACGAGUGGCGGACGGGUGAGUAAUGUCUGGGAAACUGCCUGAUGGAGGGGGAUAACUACUGGAAACGGUAGCUAAUACCGCAUAACGUCGCAAGACCAAAGAGGGGACCCUCGGGCCUCUUGCCAUCGGAUGUGCCCAGAUGGGAUUAGCUUGUUGGUGGGGUAACGGCUCACCAAGGCGACGAUCCCUAGCUGGUCUGAGAGGAUGACCAGCCACACUGGAGCUGAGACACGGUCCAGACUCCUACGGGUGGCAGCAGUGGGGAAUAUUGCACAAUGGGCGCAAGCCUGAUGCAGCCAUGCCGCGUGUAUGAAGAAGGCCUUCGGGUUGUAAAGUACUUUCAGCGGGGAGGAAGGGAGUAAAGUUAAUACCUUUGCUCAUUGACGUUACCCGCAGAAGAAGCACCGGCUAACUCCGUG